GAGAUGGGGAGCGAGUGUGAUUGAGCGAGGUGUUUUCUAUGAAAGCCACAGAGGGGCAGCGUUUCCAUGAGACGAUGAAGGCCCACGAUGCACAACCAAUCUGCAGUGCGCACGUCAUCAACUAUCAAUCAGCCGUCAUUACAAAAGUUAUUACAUUUGCCAAGUCUGGCAUCCUGAAUGUUAUUAAAACAAAGAAA